AAACUUGGUUCAAUGUGGUUGAUGGAAAAAUUUGUUCCAUGUGAAUUAAAUAGUAUUAAUACAACAAGAGGUAGCAAGCUGAAGCGAUUUUCAACUAGUUUCAAAAUUUCGGAUUUAGCUGUAUUGAAUAACAGAACAAACAUUAAAAAGAAGGCAUUUAGGUACAUGCAAUAAAGAAGAAGAAUUAUUAAUUAACAGAUGAAAAAUUUAAAAAAGUAUAAGAAACUGUAUUAUCUUAAUAAUAAACAGAUGCAGUAAUGAU